UACAGAGGGUGCGAGCGUUAAUCGGAAUUACUGGGCGUAAAGGGCCAGUAGGCGGCCAACUAAGUCGGAUGUGAAAUCCCCAGGCUCAACUUGGGAACUGCAUCCGAUACUGGAUGGCUUGAAUUCGGGAGAGGGAUGCAGAAUUCCAGGUGUAGCGGUGAAAUGCGUAGAUAUCUGGAGGAAUACCGGUGGCGAAGGCGGCAUCCUGGACCGACAUUGACGCUGAACGGCGAAAGCUAGGGGAGCAAACGGG
rnacentral:rRNA from 1 species